AGCAGACUUCGACAUAACACCUGUUCUGAGCGGACAAGAGAAUGCCAUUGCGGGACAUCCCGUUGGCUCGUCCUCUGAAGCAAGGGGAGAAAGGCAAGGGGAAGGGCACUGUGAGGAUCAACAACCUCAGCCAUCCUAUCGUCAGACAGAUGGAGGAGGAGUUUCUAAAAUUCAAACCACUUAAUGGAAGAUGGCUGUAAUACAAAGCAUCAGAGGACAUGGACACAGAGCCCCUCCUCUAUGAUGCUGUAGAAUUUGCAAGAAUGCCUCAGGUGCCAUGUGUUACAUGAAACACAACCAUGGCACUGCAAGUGUCAGCACUGCAUGCUGGAGAAUGCAAACAAGUUACUAAUGAGCAGACUGACUUGUUUACUCUUGAGGACCAGGAAGAUGGUGAACAUGAUAUUUUGGAGGAGCAGGGAGCAUCAAGCUAAGAUCUGGGGGAAAGAGAGGUAUUUGUGAAUCCAUGCACAUAAUAUGGGCUGGUAGCAGAGUGGUUAAAUGUGAUAAUUAUCCAAAAUGUCACCAGUUUGACACCUGUUUGAUGGAACCUUUGUGCCCAAAAUAAGUAUGAAUUAUUAUGUUCAUAAAUUGGUAUUCUUAAGUUAGUUCCAUUGUUUAUAAAUUGUCCAUCAAACUUAUCACCUAUUGUGUUUUUGUAAUUUCAUGUAUUAAUUUCCUUGUAUGCACAGAGGUGCCCUAUAUGGCAGAGGGACUUCUGAGAGUCUGUGCUUCCUUAUCAUGCUAGUGAGUUUUUUGACAGGUUUGACUUUUCUUGUUUGUUUUUUUGAUAAUGGCUCUCUGAGACAUUUGUGAAACAUUUGAAGAAAUAGUCUGGUCGCUAAACUUAUAAGUAAAAAGUCAGACUUAAAACAUUUUUCUAAAAAGGGAUUUCAUGUUUUUCAUGUAGUGUGCACAUUUUGCACACUGACAGGCCGUGUAUAUUUUUAACUCAUUACACAACUAAUCCAUAAUCAAACAUUUCCAAAUGUCCUCUGCCUCUGUUCAUGUAACACAAUGGGAUUUAGUCAUGACUACUCAUGUUUUGUCUAAAAGAUCAGUAAUGAAGAAUCAGAGCCUGACACAGAACUUCCAGGACCAUCAUCUGCAACUCCUAUGCCCCCUUCUAUGGUACCUCUUUCACCAAAAGAAACUGUAGUAUAUAGUUUACAUACUAUAGUAUACAUGAUAUAAUUUUGGGAAUAUUUUGAGAGUGUUUGCACAUGCUAUUCUUCACACAGCAGAGUCCUCACAAGUGGCAGAUUGGUUCAGUUUAAUACUGAAUCCUACUGUUCCCAUGGAACAGUUAGAAUGCGAUGGUUUUAUUUAUCAGUCUUUCUCAGUAGGCUACAGGUUACAUCUUUUAAAGCUGCAGGAAGUUUUUUGUGCAAAGAUUUUACUGAUGAUAUAGGUUGAGGGAUUCUAUCUUUAAGUCUAAAUGGACUAAAUACUUUGCAUUCGUGCACCAUCUGCCCUUUUCAAGUUUCUAUACCCCUGUGACUUUCUGUUGCAGACAGCAAUUACGUAACCAAUCCUGACAACCUUUACAACAAGAGGCUGUUGCAUUUUAACCUUAAUGUUAAAGAGGGGAGUACAAAUUUUGACUAUUAUUAUU